GUGCUCACUUUGGCAGCACAUAUACUAAAAUUUGGAAUGAUACAGAGAAGAUUAGCAUGGCCCAUGCACAAGGAAAUUUCACUAAAAAUAGUAUAUUGUUUU
ensembl:snRNA U6 U6 spliceosomal RNA